GAACUUCAGAUGGUGGAGUUGUGGCACAGAUUGUUGAUAUUGGCAAAACUCUGCCAUUGUUCAUGGAGAUUCAAACCUUAGGUGACAGGACGUGAAGAACCAUGUUCUGCAAAGUGUCUUGUUUUCAAUGUUGCAGGUCUCAUUUAAUUUGAGUUGAACCGUUUGGUUAUGUUGGCUGUGUGAUUUUCUCACAUGUUUGUGCUAACAGAACAAUUUGAAACUCUAGGUACUAGAGACAGUAAAGCUCAAAUUUUCUAGACAAUUUUUUAGAAUUGCAUUAAUUGACAUCAUAUUGUUAUUGUUGGUUGUCUUUUCAGAUGUAUGGCACUUAUUAGAAGCUUCUCCAUGAGAAAGAAGAUGUAUGAACAUGAUGGGUUUGUA